CUACACAUGCAGUCGAGCGGUAGCACAGAGAGCUUGCUCUCGGGUGACGAGCGGCGGACGGGUGAGUAAUGUCUGGGAAACUGCCUGAUGGAGGGGGAUAACUACUGGAAACGGUAGCUAAUACCGCAUAAUGUCGCAAGACCAAAGUGGGGGACCUUCGGGCCUCAUGCCAUCAGAUGUGCCCAGAUGGGAUUAGCUAGUAGGUGGGGUAACGGCUCACCUAGGCGACGAUCCCUAGCUGGUCUGAGAGGAUGACCAGCCACACUGGAACUGAGACACGGUCCAGACUCCUACGGGAGGCAGCAGUGGGGAAUAUUGCACAAUGGGCGCAAGCCUGAUGCAGCCAUGCCGCGUGUGUGAAGAAGGCCUUCGGGUUGUAAAGCACUUUCAGCGGGGAGGAAGGCGGUGAGGUUAAUAACCUCAUCGAUUGACGUUACCCGCAGAAGAAGCACCGGCUAACUCCGUGCCAGCAGCCGCGGUAAUACGGAGGGUGCAAGCGUUAAUCGGAAUUACUGGGCGUAAAGCGCACGCAGGCGGUCUGUCAAGUCGGAUGUGAAAUCCCCGGGCUCAACCUGGGAACUGCAUUCGAAACUGGCAGGCUAGAGUCUUGUAGAGGGGGGGUAGAAUUCCAGGUGUAGCGGUGAAAUGCGUAGAGAUCUGGAGGAAUACCGGUGGCGAAGGCGGCCCCCUGGACAAAGACUGACGCUCAGGUGCGAAAGCGUGGGGAGCAAACAGGAUUAGAUACCCUGGUAGUCCACGCCGUAAACGAUGUCGAUUUGGAGGUUGUGCCCUUGAGGCGUGGCUUCCGGAGCUAACGCGUUAAAUCGACCGCCUGGGGAGUACGGCCGCAAGGUUAAAACUCAAAUGAAUUGACGGGGGCCCGCACAAGCGGUGGAGCAUGUGGUUUAAUUCGAUGCAACGCGAAGAACCUUACCUGGUCUUGACAUCCACAGAACUUUCCAGAGAUGGAUUGGUGCCUUCGGGAACUGUGAGACAGGUGCUGCAUGGCUGUCGUCAGCUCGUGUUGUGAAAUGUUGGGUUAAGUCCCGCAACGAGCGCAACCCUUAUCCUUUGUUGCCAGCGGUCCGGCCGGGAACUCAAAGGAGACUGCCAGUGAUAAACUGGAGGAAGGUGGGGAUGACGUCAAGUCAUCAUGGCCCUUACGACCAGGGCUACACACGUGCUACAAUGGCAUAUACAAAGAGAAGCGACCUCGCGAGAGCAAGCGGACCUCAUAAAGUAUGUCGUAGUCCGGAUUGGAGUCUGCAACUCGACUCCAUGAAGUCGGAAUCGCUAGUAAUCGUAGAUCAGAAUGCUACGGUGAAUACGUUCCCGGGCCUUGUACACACCGCCCGUCACACCAUGGGAGUGGGUUGCAAAAGAAGUAGGUAGCUUAACCUUCGGGAGGGCGCUACUCACAUUUGAUC
rnacentral:rRNA from 1 species